UUGGCCAUACAUAUUUUACCUUUCCUUACCUUUCUUUGUUAAAUGAACUUGAAUUUAAUUAACUUUUGUAUGUCUCAAUUUGUUCUCAUAAAGUUAGAAAAGCUUAAUGAAGACAGUGGUUUUUAAUAGGAUCAUUUUAUUUUUCAUAGCUUUAAAUCUUCAAAAAAGACUUAAGGAUUUUCAUGGCACCAUAAUGUAGGAAAAUACAUCUGGAGGAGAAGUGGUCAGGCCUCAGGUGAUGCGUCAGUUCCUGGAAGAGGCCUCCCAGGCACACAGGCUCCCUCAUCUGAAUCACUGUCUCCUGCUCUAUUUGUCCUUGGCGGCCCUUGGUUACACGGCCUAUAAAAAGCCCGUGUUUUGCGUGGGAUCAUCUGUCUGCCCUACGUUCUCCUGACUAGACUUUAUGUUCCACGAGGCAGGGUUCGAGCCGAUUUUGAAUCCCCAACAGCGACUGCACACUGGAGGCAUCUGUAACAGGAUUUCAGAGACCGGGGUGCUGAGUGACCGUGGACACAAUCCAACAAGACUGAAAGCUGAGGAGGGGUUGUGCCCAUGACUGCCACAUUCCACCUCUACUCCCAGCCUCAAGACACCAGCUUCGAUGCAACCUUUGGAUGGGUGUUAUCAUACGCUCUAGCCACGGACACUGGGCAAACACACCAGCCCUGCAGAAAGACGGGUUACCUCUUCCAGGUCACUAGGAGCACCUCACAUUGCUUCUGUGUUGUAAAAAUGGUAUUCUAGUGCCCGUAACUGUCAUGGGCGCAAGAGAAGGGAACGGAGAUUGCUGAAAAAUUACAGUAAGACAUUAUGGCGCCACAAAUGUUUUCCUUGCAUAUAGUUUAAUUAAGUCUAUAAGUACAUUUUUUCUCAAAUCUCCAAGGCAGAUUUACAUUUCAGCAGUCUUUACCAUAUGCCUGGUAAUCUGUGUAUGUGCAAAUGUUUAUUUUUAUUUUAGAAUGUUCUGUAACAAAACAAUGUUGGUCCACAGCACACUGUCAAAGCACUGAACAUCUUUAUUAUUCAGUCCAUCUCAGGCCUUCUAUUAGACAGGCUUUAUUAGAGACACUGGUAGGAGCAAUUUUAAGUGCAAACUGAAGUUGUGUCUCAGAAAGAACAGUUAAAUAUUCCUAAAUCGUAUAUAUCAGCAGUGAUUUGACAGCACAGAUACUCUCUGGUCAUUCCUUCCGAUUGCAUUUGGUUCCCUUCUUUAAAUUAGCAUCUCAUCCAAGACAGGCGCCAUUUUUUCCAUACAGAGCCGUCAUCUGAAUCCUUCUACCUGGGACCACAGCCUCCCCAGUCCUUCUCUACCACUGGAGCUGGACAUUUGCGUGCCCGUUCUCAAACACACAAUGGUUAUGGUACAGGAAGAGAUAACGGAUGUGGGAAUGUUUAGAAAAAAGGAGUAUGCAACCUUAUGGAGAAUUAUAUUAUACUCAGGAAAUGAAGUCAACACUUCAGUUUGCUUUUUUCUUAUAUUUAAGUGGAAAGUGCGGUUUUGGUAAUAGUUUCUUUCCUCUGGGACUCCUUGGAUGGAGAUCACCUGACUAGUCCAAGUAUCAUAAAUAUCUCACUCCAUCUUUAUAAGCCAGAGUCAGUAAAGUGGCAUUUUAAACGUAUAAUAUAUAAUAUCAUCUGUCAGUAGUCUUUGUUUGUCACAAAUUGUUAUUCUUGAUUAUUAUCUUAAGGUUUUAACGGUUAUGAUUUUCGGCCUCUAAAAUGUUUCCCUCCGAGCCAACAUAAUACAUGUUUUUGAAAAGUUUUAAUCUGAGUUCUACCUGCUAACCUGAGAGUAUGCCGAUUCAAAAGUGCUCUUCUUGUGAUGAAGACAAAACACAACACAACACCAGGGGAGAUUGUGGGGAAAACCCCCGGAGCGUCGGCUGCCUUCUGAGACUCAAAGCCAAUGACACAAAGCCAUCAAGAUGCGGGAGUUGCCCUCCCCCUUCCUGUUAGUUCUGCAAACCCGCCCGAGAGCAUUUUUCAUUUCAUCUCCGUUGCUGCAAAAGCAAAACAUGUCUACAGAGAAGGUAACAGCGAAUAUUGCCCUUUCUUCCUCUGAAAAGGAAAAUGCUGGUUAUACUAGAGCUCCACAUGAAUUUUACAAACAUUUACCGGAACCACCAACCCUUCAAACCCUCAGUUCUAUCUGUUUAAACCAGUGAAUGGAUAAUUAAUAGCAGCCUCCUUUUGGGGUUUUGACUAGAUUGCCAGAUUCUGCACAUAGAGACUUCUUCCCUCCAACUCGCUUUUCCUGAGCUGUACUCUUCAAUACGUCGUCUUAACAAAAAUUAGCGUGUUAAUUAAGCCUUCUUGGCAAGUAAUUGCAUGUUAAGGCUUUUUUUUUU